rnacentral:rRNA from 1 species
UACGUAGGGUGCAAGCGUUAAUCGGAAUUACUGGGCGUAAAGCGUGCGCAGGCGGUUGUGCAAGACCGAUGUGAAAUCCCCGGGCUUAACCUGGGAAUGGCAUUGGUGACUGCACGGCUAGAGUGUGUCAGAGGGGGGGUAGAAUUCCACGUGUAGCAGUGAAAUGCGUAGAGAUGUGGAGGAACACCGAUGGCGAAGGCAGCCCCCUGGGUCAAGAUUGACGCUCAUGCACGAAAGCGUGGGGAGCAAACAGG